rnacentral:rRNA from 1 species
AUUGAACGCUGGCGGCAGGCCUAACACAUGCAAGUCGAGCGGAGCGGCGGACGGGUGCGUAAUGCCUAUGCAUCUGCCUGUUCAUGGGGGAUAACGUCCGGAAACGGGCGCCAAUACCGCAUACUAUCAGAUUAGCCUAGGUCGGAUUAGCUAGUGCGUGGGGUAAAGGCCUACCAAGGCGACGACCCGUAACUGGCCUGAGAGGAUGAUCAGUCACACUGGAACUGAGACACGGUCCAGACUCCUACGGGAGGCAGCAGUGGGGAAUAUUGGACAAUGGGCGAAAGCCUGAUACAGCCAUGCCGCGUGUGUGAAGAAGGUCUUCGGAUUGUAAAGCACUUUAAGUUGGGAGGCGUUACCAACAGAAUAAGCACCGGCUAACUUCGUGCCAGCAGCCGCGGUAAUAC